UACAGAGGGGGCAAGCGUUGUUCGGAAUUACUGGGCGUAAAGGGCGCGUAGGCGGCCUGCUAAGUCGAACGUGAAAUCCCCGGGCUCAACCCGGGAACUGCGUCCGAUACUGGAAGGCUUGAAUCCGGGAGAGGGAUGUGGAAUUCCAGGUGUAGCGGUGAAAUGCGUAGAUAUCUGGAGGAACACCGGUGGCGAAGGCGACAUCCUGGACCGGUAUUGACGCUGAGGCGCGAAAGCGUGGGUAGCAAACAGG
rnacentral:rRNA from 1 species